CCUACGGGUGGCAGCAGUGAGGAAUAUUGGUCAAUGGGCGAGAGCCUGAACCAGCCAAGUCGCGUGAGGGAGUACUGCCCUAUGGGUUGUAAACCUCUUGUGUCGGGGAGCAAAAGCCGGACGUGUCCGGCUGCGAGAGUACCCGAAGAAAAAGCAUCGGCUAACCCCGUGCCAGCAGCCGCGGUAAUACGGAGGAUGCGAGUGUUGUCCGGAUUUAGUGGGUUUAAAGGGUGCGCAGGCGGAUUGUUAGGUCAGCGGUCAAAUCGUGGGGCUCAACCCCAUCCAGCCGUUGAAACUGGGGUUCUUGAGUGUGCGAGAGGUAGGCGGAAUGCGUGGUGUAGCGGUGAAAUGCAUAGAUAUCACGCAGAACCCCGAUUGCGAAGGCAGCAUACCGGUGCACAACUGACGGUGAGGCACGAAAGCGUGGGUAGCGAACAGGAUUAGAUACCCUGGUAGUC
rnacentral:rRNA from 1 species